rnacentral:rRNA from 1 species
GUGUCAGCCGCCGCGGUAAUACGUAGGGGGCGAGCGUUGUCCGGAAUUAUUGGGCGUAAAGAGCGUGUAGGCGGUUCGGUAAGUCUGCUGUGAAAUCCUGGGGCUCAACCCCGGGCGUGCAGCGGAUACUGCCGGGCUAGAGGGUGGUAGAGGCGAGUGGAAUUCCCGGUGUAGCGGUGAAAUGCGCAGAUAUCGGGAGGAACACCAGUAGCGAAGGCGGCUCGCUGGGCCACACCUGACGCUGAGACGCGAAAGCGUGGGGAGCGAACAGGAUUAGAUACCCUGGUAGUCCACGCCGUAAACGAUGGACACUAGGUGUGGGCGGAGUCGAAUCUGUCCGUGCCGAAGCCAACGCGAUAAGUGUCCCGCCUGGGGAGUACGGCCGCAAGGCUAAA